AUUGAACGCUGGCGGCAUGCCUAACACAUGCAAGUCGAACGGUAACGGGCCUUCGGGUGUCGACUAGUGGCGGAGGGGUGCGUAAUACACCGGAAUGUGUCCGAUCGCGGGGGCUAACGAGGCGAAACCGCUUCUAAUAGCGCAUACGAUCUACGGACGAAAGCAGGGGACCGCAAGGCCUUGCGCCGACUUAGCGGCCGCUGGUAGAUUAGAUAGUUGGUGGGUAAAAAGCUUAUCAAGCCGACGAUCUGUAGCCGGUCUGAGAGGAUGAUCCGCCACACUGGAACUGAGACACGGCCCAGACUCCUACGGGAGGCAGCAGUGGGGAAUGUUGGACAAUGGGCGCAAGCCUGAUCCAGCCAUGCCGCGUGCAGGAUGAAGGCCUUCGGGUUGUAAACUGCUUUUGUACGGAACGAAAAGCCUUCUUUUAAUACAGGGGGGUCAUGACGGUACCGUAAGAAUAAGCACCGGCUAACUACGUG
rnacentral:rRNA from 1 species